rnacentral:rRNA from 1 species
AACGAACGCUGGCGGCAUGCCUAACACAUGCAAGUCGAACGAGACCUUCGGGUCUAGUGGCGCACGGGUGCGUAACGCGUGGGAACCUGCCUUUAGGUUCGGAAUAACUCAGAGAAAUUUGAGCUAAUACCGGAUGAUGUCUUCGGACCAAAGAUUUAUCGCCUUUAGAUGGGCCCGCGUUGGAUUAGCUAGUUGGUGGGGUAAAGGCCUACCAAGGCGACGAUCCAUAGCUGGUCUGAGAGGAUGAUCAGCCACACUGGGACUGAGACACGGCCCAGACUCCUACGGGAGGCAGCAGAGGGGAAUAUUGGACAAUGGGCGAAAGCCUGAUCCAGCAAUGCCGCGUGAGUGAUGAAGGCCUUAGGGUUGUAAAGCUCUUUUACCCGAGAUGAUAAUGACAGUAUCGGGAGAAUAAGCUCCGGCUAACUCCGUG